CUGUCGGCCGAGGCACUGCUCCUUUUGAGCGGUAGUGCAAAAUUUAGCAGUGCCUCGACCGUCAG
rnacentral:pre_miRNA from 1 species